rnacentral:rRNA from 1 species
UUAGAGUUUGAUCCUGGCUCAGGACGAACGCUGGCGGCGUGCCUAACACAUGCAAGUCGAGCGAAUGAAGUUCCUUCGGGAACGGAUUUAGCGGCGGACGGGUGAGUAACACGUGGGCAACCUACCUCAUAGAGGGGAAUAGCCUUCCGAAAGGGAGAUUAAUACCGCAUAAGAUUGUAGUACCGCAUGAUACAGCAAUUAAAGGAGCAAUCCGCUAUGAGAUGGGCCCGCGGCGCACUAGCUAGUUGGUGAGGUAACGGCUCACCAAGGCGACGAUGCGUAGCCGACCUGAGAGGGUGAUCGGCCACAUUGGGACUGAGACACGGCCCAGACUCCUACGGGAGGCAGCAGUGGGGAAUAUUGCACAAUGGGGGAAACCCUGAUGCAGCAACGCCGCGUGAGUGAUGACGGCCUUCGGGUUGUAAAGCUCUGUCUUCAGGGACGAUAAUGACGGUACCUGAGGAGGAAGCCACGGCUAACUACGUGCCAGCAGCCGCGGUAAUACGUAGGUGGCGAGCGUUGUCCGGAUUUACUGGGCGUAAAGGGAGCGUAGGCGGAUUUUUAAGUGAGAUGUGAAAUACUCGGGCUUAACCUGAGUGCUGCAUUUCAAACUGGAAGUCUAGAGUGCAGGAGAGGAGAAGGGAAUUCCUAGUGUAGCGGUGAAAUGCGUAGAGAUUUGGAGGAACACCAGUGGCGAAGGCGGUUUACUGGGCCACAUCUGACGCUGAUGUACGAAAGCGUGGGGAGCAAACAGGAUUAGAUACCCUGGUAGUCCACGCCGUAAACGAUGAGUGCUAAGUAUCGGUAGAUUCGGUGCUUAAGCUAACGCAGUAAGCACUCCGCCUGGGGAGUACGGUCGCAAGACUGAAACUCAAAGGAAUUGACGGGGACUCGCACAAGCGGUGGAGCAUGCGGUUUAAUUCGAUGCAACGCGAAGAACCUUACCAGGUCUUGACA